CAGCAGCCGCGGGAAUACGUAGGGUGCAAGCGUUAAUCGGAAUUACUGGGCGUAAAGCGUGCGCAGGCGGUUAUAUAAGACAGAUGUGAAAUCCCCGGGCUCAACCUGGGAACUGCAUUUGUGACUGUAUAGCUAGAGUACGGCAGAGGGGGAUGGAAUUCCGCGUGUAGCAGUGAAAUGCGUAGAUAUGCGGAGGAACACCGAUGGCGAAGGCAAUCCCCUGGGCCUGUACUGACACUCAUGCACGAAAGCGUGGGGAGCAAACAGGAUUAGAUACCCCGGUAGUCCCUGUCUCUUAUAC
rnacentral:rRNA from 1 species